ACUUCUUUAUCACCGAGUGCUUGCACUCACCGGUAAAGGGUUGGGUGGCGAACGGGUGAGUAACACGUGGGCAACCUGCCCAAAAGAGGGGGAUAACACUUGGAAACAGGUGCUAAUACCGCAUAACCAUAGUUACCGCAUGGUAGCUAUGUAAAAGGUGGCUAUGCUACCGCUUUUGGAUGGGCCCGCGGCGCAUUAGCUAGUUGGUGGGGUAAAGGCUUACCAAGGCAAUGAUGCGUAGCCGAACUGAGAGGUUGAUCGGCCACAUUGGGACUGAGACACGGCCCAAACUCCUACGGGAGGCAGCAGUAGGGAAUCUUCCACAAUGGGCGAAAGCCUGAUGGAGCAACGCCGCGUGGGUGAAGAAGGUCUUCGGAUCGUAAAACCCUGUUGUUAGAGAAGAAAGUGCGUGAGAGUAACUGUUCACGUUUCGACGGUAUCUAACCAGAAAGCCACGGCUAACUACGUGCCAGCAGCCGCGGUAAUACGUAGGUGGCAAGCGUUAUCCGGAUUUAUUGGGCGUAAAGGGAACGCAGGCGGUCUUUUAAGUCUGAUGUGAAAGCCUUCGGCUUAACCGGAGUAGUGCAUUGGAAACUGGGAGACUUGAGUGCAGAAGAGGAGAGUGGAACUCCAUGUGUAGCGGUGAAAUGCGUAGAUAUAUGGAAGAACACCAGUGGCGAAAGCGGCUCUCUGGUCUGUAACUGACGCU
rnacentral:rRNA from 1 species